GGUGAGGGGAGCAGUGGGCAGCAGCGGUGGCAGCACCCAGGAUGUGAAGACUGUGUGGCAUAACGACGCUGGAUUUUUUUCCUCCGAGGAUGCGUCGGGCAAAAACACAGUUUGAGGUCAUCGAUGGUCAGGGUGGAUAAUGGAUGAGUGUGAAGAGUGGCUGAUAGGACCAUCCAAGGCAAAUGAGACCCUCAGGCUUUUCUGCACCCUGGGACUACGCGAACAACCGGAACCAUGCACCACCGGGACAGAAGAAGG